UACGUAGGGGGGCAAGCGUUGUCCGGAUUUAUUGGGCGUAAAGAGCGUGUAGGCGGCUUUGCAAGUCCGUUGUGAAAAACUCGAGCUCAACCUCGAGACGCCGGUGGAAACUGCAAAGCUAGAGUCCGGAAGAGGAGAGUGGAAUUCCACGUGUAGCGGUGAAAUGCGUAGAGAAUGUGGAGGAACACCAGUGGCGAAGGCGGACAUCUCUUGGGGCUGGAGUAA
rnacentral:rRNA from 1 species